CAGGAUGAACGCUAGCGGCAGGCUUAACACAUGCAAGUCGAGGGGCAUCGCGGGUGGCAACACCUGGCGGCGACCGGCGAACGGGUGAGUAACGCGUGAGCAACAUGUCCUCAGUCGGGGGAUAAGCGAGGGAAACUUCGUCUAAUACCCCAUAACACUUUCAGGCGCAUGCCUUUAAGUUGAAAGCUUUUUUUGCGACUUUGGUUUGGCUCGCGUGACAUUAGCUAGUCGGUGGGGUAACGGCUCACCGAGGCUACGAUGUCUAGGGGUUCUGAGAGGAAGGCCCCCCACAUUGGGACUGGGACACGGCCCAAACUCCUACGGGAGGCAGCAGUGAGGAAUAUUGGUCAAUGGACGGAAGUCUGAACCAGCCAUGCCGCGUGAAGGAAGACUGCCCUAUGGGUUGUAAACUUCUUUUGCAGCAGAGCAAUAAGGCGUACGUGUACGCCGAUGAGAGUAUGUUGCGAAUAAGCAUCGGCUAACUCCGUGCCAGCAGCCGCGGUAAUACGGAGGAUGCGAGCGUUAUCCGGAUUUAUUGGGUUUAAAGGGUGCGUAGGCUGUUUUGUAAGUCAGCGGUGAAAGACCGGGGCCCAACUCCGGAAGUGCC
rnacentral:rRNA from 1 species